AACAUCCUUAUUAAUACUGUGAUAAUAGUGACAGCAAAGCUCUUCUUAGGCUCUACUGUCUUAAGUACAAACAACAUUAUAAAUAGAUUGACUGAUUGUUUUUUACCUUGAUCCUGUGUCCCUGUUUCCGUUUAUGAACGGACAAUUGAUUCUCCGUAAAGUUCUGAUAUGAGGCUCUUAAAGCUGCUGUAGAUCGGUUUAUUUAAUAAUAACGUUUCGUCUUUGAUCACGCUGAGCUGUUGCUUUACUGCGAGACAUUUCAGAGGGUCAGGCUCGGUCCGGCAUUAUUUAAAACUGUUUUAUUAGAUGCCAUCUGGCUUUCUGAUAGUUCUGCAUUACUGCUGGUAGUUAAUCUGUUAAUGUCUGCUCAUCGCGCCCGUUGAAGGGGUUUUAUUUAGGCUGAAAAAGGAUCGUUAAUACACUAUCAGGAUGGACGCUUGGUGUUUAUAACCUUGUUUUAUCAUGACCAAAUGGUUUUUGAUCUUUUUCUAAUAGUACAUUUAAGAGUGUAAAAUCAGAUGUACAAAAUAUUUCUGACGUACGUUUGAAGGCCAGGAAGAGGAAAACUGCAGCAAUGACCAGCAAAAUGCUGAGUGAGAGCGAGAGGACCGGAGCGUUGAUCUGCAGAGAGAGUGAAGGCAGAGGAUCCUCCACCUGAAAGACAGAACAUGACUGCCGUCACACCUCAGGCCGUCAACGUCGACCCGGCAGCAGUACGGCCCGCUGUCCGUCCGCCUCACGUUCACGAUGUCCAGGUCCAUCUGUCCGUCCAGGACGUCCCCCGUAAGACGGUAUCUGUCGUCAGCCUGCAGCAUCAAGGAGACGGACCGACUGCAGGCAGGACAGUCCAGCUCUGACACUGUGGGUCCAUAGAGACGGAGGUCUGAGUCCUGCUGGGUGUCCACAGAGCUCCCAGGAGAGGACGACACCUGGAUGGACCAAUACGUCUCUCCAGAACUCCAGUUUUCUCCUCUGAAGGUCAACCACUCACACUUUCCAUGGCAGUCAGCGACCUUUAACCCUUCACCAGCCUGAAACACGUUCUGCCGUCUGUCUGGACGGAGCUUGUCUCCUGAGAACGUAGCUGCGGCUCUGAACAGAGGUCCGAUGUUACUUCAUCCCUGGGGGAGGUCCUCAGACUCCCAGCAGGUUUUCUAUGUUCUCUACAUGAUAAAUGAAACACGUUUUAUCAUGCAGAACUGUUUCCCAGCUACAGUUAAUUUGUUUUUAAUCCCAUUUUCCAGAAAUGGAGUUUGAUAGAAUUCCAAAUAAUAUUUUAACUAU